rnacentral:rRNA from 1 species
CCUACGGGAUGCAGCAGUGAGGAAUAUUGGUCAAUGGACGAGAGUCUGAACCAGCCAAGUAGCGUGAAGGAUGACUGCCCUAUGGGUUGUAACCUUCUUUUAUAUGGGAAUAAACCGUUCCACGUGUGGGCUUUUGUAUGUCCCCUAUGAAUAAGGAUCGGCUAACUCCGUGCCAGCAGCCGCGGUAAUACGGAGGAUCCGAGCGUUAUCCGGAUUUAUUGGGUUUAAAGGGAGCGUAGGUGGAUUGUUAAGUCAGUUGUGAAAGUUUGCGGCUCAACCGUAAAAUUGCAGUUGAAACUGGUAGUCUUGAGAUGUCGAGAGGUAGGCGGAAUGCGCAGUGUAGCGGUGAAAUGCGUAGAUAUUGCGCAGAACUCCGAUUGCGAAGGCAGCAUACCGGAGGCGAUCUGACGCUGAGGCACGAAAGCGUGGGUAUCGAACAGGAUUAGAUACCCCUGUAGUC